GCGCUAAUGCACUAUUUUGUUCUGUUAACGAAACGAAGCAGCAGCAGCCCAGGGCUCACAGAUUCACAAGAAACUUCAUAGUGAGAAUAGCAUAUCUAAAAUGUAACCGUUUUAAAUGAAUAAUAUAUGCCAGUCCAUGCUGGAUAUUAAUGGUUUAAUCAGAGAAAUGAAGAGAGAGAAGGCGUCACUGGAGGUAAAGUUGAUGGAGAGAAACCACAAGCUGAACGUUCUCAACUGGUUUUGGUUCAGGAUUUUAUUAUAUAUGCAGUGGUGAACCAACACUGAAAUGAACAGAUCGUGUCAUGAUUGAACAGAUGACCUUAAAAUCAAACAUUGGCACAUGCACAGAUAUGUUUCAGUCUAGGGCUGCACAUUUUGUUCCGUAUAGAGGGAUUGGGAAUGCAGAGCGUCAGAAAGAUCCCGUAUAGUGAUGUGGAGAAGCUUGCGACGGUUACACUGAUGGAGAAGUUUGUUCCCACCGUCUCCGGCUCUCAGAAGCUCCUGGCAUCGAUGGACUGCCGUCAGCUCACUCAGGUUUGAAAUAUACUUGCAGUGGUAGCUGGGUGGAAAAUCCUCCUAUUACCCACGGAACAAAAAAUGGUCUACUACAUGUGACAAACAACAAAUAAUGUGUGAUUUUUAACAAUAUAAGGAAUUUCCAGAAGAAGAAAAAAAAAACUUUG